rnacentral:tRNA from 2 species
UAGGCUAAANCCCGCUGGCUUGGGUGGUUAGUUGUUAACUAAUUUUUUACGGGAUCGAAGCCCGUUGGUCUA